rnacentral:rRNA from 1 species
CCCGCACAAGCGGAGGAACAUGUGGUUUAAUUCGAUGAUACGCGAGGAACCUUACCUGGGCUUAAAUGUAGAGUGCAUUUUCUAGAGAUAGGAAUUCCCUUCGGGGCUUUCUACAAGGUGCUGCAUGGUUGUCGUCAGCUCGUGCCGUGAGGUGUCGGGUUAAGUCCCAUAACGAGCGCAACCCUUAUCGUUAGUUGCCAUCUGGUAAAGCAGGGGACUCUAGCGAAACUGCCACCGUAAGGUGAGAGGAAGGUGGGGAUGACGUCAAAUCAGCACGGCCCUUAUGUCCAGGGCUACACACGUGUUACAAUGGUCGGUACAGAGGGCAGCUACCUGGUGACAGGAUGCUAAUCUCGAAAACCGGCCUCAGUUCGGAUCGAAGUCUGCAACUCGACUUCGUGAAGCUGGAUUCGCUAGUAAUCGCGCAUCAGCCAUGGCGCGGUGAAUACGUUCCCGGGCCUU